rnacentral:rRNA from 1 species
AUUGAACGCUGGCGGCAUGCUUUACACAUGCAAGUCGAACGGUAACAGGCCGCAAGGUGCUGACGAGUGGCGAACGGGUGAGUAAUGCAUCGGAACGUGCCCAGUCGUGGGGGAUAACGCAGCGAAAGCUGCGCUAAUACCGCAUACGAUCUAUGGAUGAAAGCGGGGGACCGAAAGGCCUCGCGCGAUUGGAGCGGCCGAUGUCAGAUUAGGUGGUUGGUGAGGUAAAGGCCCACCAAGCCAACGAUCUGUAGCUGGUCUGAGAGGACGACCAGCCACACUGGGACUGAGACACGGCCCAGACUCCUACGGGAGGCAGCAGUGGGGAAUUUUGGACAAUGGGCGCAAGCCUGAUUCAGCAAUGCCGCGUGCAGGAAGAAGGCCUUCGGGUUGUAAACUGCUUUUGUACGGAACGAAAAGGUUUGGGUUAAUACCCUGGGCCGAUGACGGUACCGUAAGAAUAAGCACCGGCUAACUACGUGCCAGCCGCCGCCGUAACAC